rnacentral:lncRNA from 1 species
GUUGAAGAGCUUGACGUUGGGACGAGCCAAAAGCUUGCUCAUGAUGGUGGAUGUGAAGAGAGCAGCGUGCUUGAUCACGACGUAGUUGUCUUGCUCAUCGUAGGCUACACCAAUCUCGUCAAGGAACAAGUGAGCUGGUUUGCGCACAAUCUGUUAAACACGGAUAUACAAUAACUUCAGUCUACUACACAUUACCAAUCACAUGCAAACCAAUCUAUGUACUUAAACACAUAAGAAGCUCUUAACACAGAGAGAGUUCGGAUAAAACAUUAUCAUGGGACAAUCUGUCCAACACAAACACACACAGGGCCCGCUAAAUCCCCCAGUAUCUUGAUAGCUUAAGGAUCAAAUAUUUUUUGUAUAUACAAAUUUUUAUAGAGAAAAUUUUAAAUAUUCACUAAAUUUGGUUGAAAAGUAGGCAUAUUUUAUGUGUACAUAAUUUGUUUUCAUCACAAAUUUUAUAAAGAUGUUGAUGAUAAAAUAAUUAAAAAAUAUUUUAAAAAACAUAAAUAUUAAAAACUUCAAUUUUUUUGCGCAUGAGUCCAAAUAAAUAUUGAGCCGUCCCUGAAUAUACAAUAACUCCAGUCCAGAGCAUACAUAUUCGCAUAUGACAUCCAAUAUAUUAAUGGUUAGUAUGUAUUAUAUCAUUCAGUCCUAAAUGAUUUUAAAAUAUAUGUGUUUAGUAAUUGUUUAAGCCUAAUAAUCUCAGAGCCCGCCUUGGCUUCCAUGAACACAAAUUAAUUAAACCAAACCUUAGUAGUUCCUCAGUAGUGUGACAUGCAAGUUAGUCUAAGUACUGAAACACUAUAUAGCAAGCUCUUACCACAAAGAGAGUUCGAAUAAAACAUUACCAUGGCGGAGAAAAGCUGACCACCGAGCCACGCGCCACCACCAGGACUGACAGAUUGCUCGAUGAUUGCGACCUGAACGUUAGGGUUCUUGCUGAUCUCGUAAGCACACGAUAGUCCAGCGGAGCCAGCACCAACGACGACGACGUCGGUCUCGGCGUAAGUGAUCAUAUCAGUCAUGUACCUCCUCGUCAUCUCGCGAGACACGAUGGACUCCUUGAUGGGGUCAAAAGUGAAGGCGUUCAGAUCGUAGCCAGCGGUGGCGCGGACGGAGAGGGAGCGCGGUUUGAGACCGACGGAGACAGGUGCGGCGGAGGAGAUGGAUGAGCCAUGGAAAUAGGAGUCGAAAAGGCGCUGAGGCUUGGUGGAAGAGAGGGAGAGAGUAGAGGUGAUGGACGCCAUAUUUGAGAGGUGUGUUUAUGUUUUGAGUGACGAUGAAGAUGAUGGUGGUGAAGUGAAACUGUGGUGGCUGUUGAAUAUUUAAAUUAGAAGAUGAAGAAAUAUCUGGAGAGUGAUGGCCACGUCAGAGAUAAGGCAUGAAGGGUCGUCGAUUUUUUGUUUUAUUUUUUAUAUAAAUGAAAUUAUUAAUUUCUGCCAUUAAUGGAAACAUUGGAAAGUAACGAUCUCCUUCCUUCACGGUUCGAAUUGAAUGAAGGAAGUUUUGAAAAUUUUCAUGACUUUUGAAAAAACCAAAGUUUAGUGAGAAAGUUAACAUACUUAUUUGUUUUUGUUACCCGAUUAAACCAGAAAUAUUUGCUUGUCUAAGAAAGAAAUAAAUCGUUUUGAUAUAUGUAGUUUAUGAAACAAUUAGAUUCAUAUAUUUUGUAUUAAAAUUCAGUUUGUGGUAAUUAAGAAAUAUCUCGAGACUUUUGUCUGGAAGUUUCUGUAACCAUUUGCACUGAGUGUGUGGUGACACGAACAACACCAGAAAGUGAGAUAUCUGUGUACGAUAGAUAUGGAUUUGGAUUUUACUAGUGAAAAGAUAGUUCACUAUUAUGGUGUCCUACGAAACAGAACAUGCAUGCAAACAAGUACAGCAGACCAAAGCUAAGUGAGCUGCUUGUGCUAGGUAAAACCAAUAGAGGAUCGGAGAACAACGCACAUUAAACCGAAUAAACGUUUUUAUUGAGAAGAAACAAAGACACCAGAAAAGUUCAUAACAUAAAUAGUCACAAGUUUUUUUAAAACACUCCUUUAUUGCAACUCCUUUCACAUAAAGAAGUAUCAAGGGGAAAUUUUCUUAGUUAAAAAAAACUUGUCCUUAAGCAUCUACGGUUUCAGCUGAAUCAGCAGCUGCUAAGACAAGCUCCGGGCUUAGGUCUCCGACAUACGAUCCAUCAAUAACAUUGGGCUGUCCCAAAGCUUUUAGAGCCAGAUGUGCCGCCUUCUGUCCUGAUAUCAUCAUAGCUCCGAACGUUGGUCCCUGCACAUCACAUAUUCAUUCACUCAGUAUAUCAUCCUACUAUAAAUGAUUGAUUCAAGGAAAGGGAAACAAACUCACCAUUCUUGGUGCACCAUCGAUCUCAGCAACUUCCAUACCGGUCACGAUCAUACCGGGAACAACCUCCCUGGUCAACCUCACAAUCGCAUCCUCAGCUGUGUUCAUGUCAAGAGCUUUCAUCCCAGGAACAUGGUCAAUCAACCCAAUGCUCUUCAACCUCUUCACACCGGUGGCUCCAAAGGGACCGUCGUGACCGCACGAGCUCACGACAAUCUUGGCCUCCAUGACGUUAGGGUCCAUGCAAGACUGUGUGUCGUGGUUCAUUGACACAAGAGCCCAGUUAGUCACCACACCGCCGACUCUGUUUCCUUUCACGAUCAGAUCCUCAGCGGCGACAGCGUUGAAGAGCUUGACGUUGGGACGAGCCAAAAGCUUGCUCAUGAUGGUGGAUGUGAAGAGA